GGUCAGGACACCAGACGAGGCCCCAGCCCCAGCCUUCCUGAACCCCCUCAGCUACCACUUCUAACUGGUUUCACCCAGGCCUUGUUGAAGGCCACCCUCUGGGCAGUCUUCCCUCCAUGGCAGCCCAACGUUAGCACACUCGCCCAGACUGAACCCCGCCCUGAGCACACAGCCUGGCCACCCGACCCCACCCUCCCUGAGUCCCCAGUGUCAGCGCAGAGGGGCAGUGCUGCAACGGAGGGCAGGGAGAAGCCCCGGGGCCCUAACCCAUCCUGACCAAACAGCUCAGAAGAGGCACCCAACAGGAGCGGAGGCGCUGGACCAGGGCCCAGAAGGAGAGUUCAGGCCGUCGGGGGCCCCGACUGGCUGCUGGGAGAGGAAGCUGGGGGGCAAGAGGGGGUGGCCAGGAGAGGGGCACACCCUCCAGCAGCCGCCGCCAUGCCCAGGCCAGCCGGAGGCCGGAGGAGAGGAGCAGCCAGCGCCCUCAGAGGUAGGCCCUUGCGGUGUCCCAGGACCCAGCUUCUCCCCACAAGAAGACCAGAGGCUCCAGCUGUGACCCCCUCAAGCCUCAACCUGCUUCCUGGUGCCGGUGAAGCCCCGGGGCCAGUGCUACACCACCAUCCCCGACUGCUCCGACCGCCCCCACCCUGAGGACAGGAGCUGUAGCCACCACAAAACCGGCAAAGCCCCAGCCACUGGGCCCUGGUCCCGUGAAAGGGGAAAAGAAGAUUUCAGAAGGACCAGGGAGCAGACAGAAUGGCCAGGCGCUCUGCUUGCAUGAGAGCCUGG